rnacentral:snRNA from 1 species
AUCGCUUCUCGGCCUUUUGGCUAAGAUCAAGUGUAGUAUCUGUUCUUAUCAGUUUAAAAUCACCCACUCCAGGCCUUAAAAAUCUUUAACUAACCUCUGCUCAUUUUCCCCUCUUGAGACAUUUCAUUAAGACUCAGUCACCACCCUUA